ensembl:lncRNA
AUGUUUGCUCUGAAAGAAAACCUGUGGUUGUACCUAGAAUAUGCCCAGAGAGGUUGUCUCACCCCCCCGCAACAUGUUGUCUCCAAGUGUUCUGAGAUGGAAUCUGCUUCCGCAGAGAGCCAGCCUGUAGGACUCGGGAUGUUCUCAGAGAGCGUGUCUCCUGCCACCAAUGUCUUGUCCCCUGAGUGUUCUGAGAUGGAAUCUGCUUCCGCAGAGAGCCAGCCUGUAGGACUCGGGAUGUUCUCAGAGAGCGUGUCUCCUGCCACCAAUGUCUUGUCCCCUGAGUGUUCUGAGAUGGAAUCUGCUUCCGCAGAGAGCCAGCCUGUAGGACUCGGGAUGUUCUCAGAGAGCGUGUCUCCUGCCACCAAUGUCUUGUCCCCUGAGUGUUCUGAGAUGGAAUCUGCUUCCGCAGAGAGCCAGCCUGUAGGACUCGGGAUGUUCUCAGAGAGCGUGUCUCCUGCCACCAAUGUCUUGUCCCCUGAGUGUUCUGAGAUGGAAUCUGCUUCCGCAGAGAGCCAGCCUGUAGGACUCGGGAUGUUCUCAGAGAGCGUGUCUCCUGCCACCAAUGUCUUGUCCCCUGAGUGUUCUGAGAUGGAAUCUGCUUCCGCAGAGAGCCAGCCUGUAGGACUCGGGAUGUUCUCAGAGAGCGUGUCUCCUGCCACCAAUGUCUUGUCCCCUGAGUGUUCUGAGACUCGGUGUGUUUCCACAGAGAGCCAGCCUGGAGGAACUCGAAGGUUCUCAGAGAGGUGGUGUGUCUCCCACCACAAAGUGUGUGGCCUGUGAGUCUCAUGGACUUGAGCUGGCUCGUUUGUCUUCCCUGAAACAAAAAACACAUCCUGUCACCUAGGCUGGCUGAAAGGGACAGGGAGAGGGAGAGGAAGGGAGAACUGGGACAGGGGGAUGGGAGAAACAGCCAACAUGGAGGAAAGCUCAAGAGUCUCAAGAGGAAGCAGGGAGGCUUGGCAAGGAGCAAUGAAAGGGCUUUGGCACAUGCAGAGAGACUGCUUCCACCACCACCAAAUUGGGGCUUGACUUGAAACCUCCGACUCAUACACAAGAAAUCUUUGCCCUGCCCUGUCCACACAUCUGUGUGUCCGGCCCUGGCAGGUCUGCGUGCUGUGCGUUUCGCUCGUGUGUCUCUCGGCUCUCAGACACUCUGUGCCAGUCCCUGGAUGGGGCAUGCCACUCGUCCUCUCCUGUGCGUGGCUGCGCCGGGCCCACCGGUUUCUGGCCCCCUCUGGCCCUUCUCCUUUUCUCUGACCCUGCGCCUGCAUGCUUGAGUGCCUCCUGCCGCUCGUGCUUCUCUGUUCCAGCCUCCCAGGUGUCCUUGGACCUCGGGCUGGCCAGCAUCCUACCUCCCAAAGUCCCCAUCCCAAGCCAGCGAGCCAAUGCCUGCCAUGGCAAAAUCGUGUUCAGUCGAGGUCGGCGGAAUGGUCCUCCUCAGAAGAUCUAACUGUCCUUCAGACACAUAAAGAGAUGGGAGAAGUAGAAAGUAGUUUGGCAGGAGCUGGAUGAGAAAUGGGCACCUGACACAGCCUCUCAACUCCAACUCCAAACAGAAAGAGGAAUGAGAUGGGACGGAGAAAUGAAGGAAGAAGGUGUUCUCACCGCUAAUUAUCCAUGGCAGACGUCAAGGGAAUCAGGAAGAAUUACUGGAUGGGGGCAGCUGGGAGGCUCAGCGGAUGGAGAGCCAGGCCAAGGGAGUGCCCAGGUGCUGGGUUCUAAUGUGGCCUCAGGCACUUCCUGGCCCCUGGGUACUAGGUCACUUCUCCCCCAGGCCUGG